CGAGGGGCGUGGCCUAGAGGGGCGGGGAGGCGGGGCCACGCCCCCAGGAGGCCGGCGCUUGGCCGCCUUGACCAGUCCGGAGCCGCGCGCGGACGCGAGGUGGGUGGGUCUGCGGAAGCGGGUUCCUCCUCCUUUAAGGUUCGGUGACUCGUGGGCAGCCGGCCGCAGUGUCCGUGCACUUGUUUUCCGCAGAAGGUGAUUAUCGUGGCAACUCCUGUUAGUGCCUUCGCCGGGCACCCAGCACCCGGUCUCUGGCCCUUGGCACUCAGCACCCGGCACCCAGCGCUCAGCCUGCAGAGCACCUGGGCGGUCAAGCAGGACGUCUCCCGCGGGGUCUUGCGCUCUGCCAAAAAUGCAAUACUUGGCGACCUCCGAAAGAACGUGGUAGAACCACCGUAUCUCACUGGCCUCAACUUCAGCCCCUCCAGCCUCCUGGCCUCUCUCCCACACGCAGGCCUUUCCCAGACCAAAGUUCCUGAGGCAGCACUUCCUUCAGGGAGAUCUGGAAGAGAGAGAAGGGGCGAGACCGAACACCUUCUCGGGAGGCCUCCUCUGGCCGCAAGGUAAAAGUCACAGCCCCCACUGGGGGGGGGGGGGGGCUGCCCCUUCUACGCUUUGAUUUUUGCCCCAGGGCUUGUCACUGACAUACAUUGUACUUUAUUUAUCCUGAUUUUCAUCUCUUCCCUAAAAGGUGAAUUCCAUAAGGGCGGGAGGAUGAGUCAAAGCCCAAGCAGGAAACAAAAGGGAACCUUGAACUGGGUUCUUUGAGGAGAGUUUAGUAAAAGGGCCAUUUCCCAAGACUGGCAAGGAGGUAGGGAAGCCUGGGGUGAGGCAGCACCUGAGGGCAGUGACCCAGCCCGGGGGACAGGGAUGUGAGAGAGGACAACAGCCACUGACCCUCCGCUUAGGGCGGCUGGGUCAAGCACCCACUCCGCGGUUGCUCCACAUCACCCACCCCAAGCGGAGCCUGGAGCUGGGGCCCCGGGCACAGUGCUAAGGUGGGGGGGGGGGUGGAAUCUGCACGGUGACACACAGGGAAGUCAGGUCUGUCCCCCGUUGGACCUCCAUCCCUACUGGCGCACAGGAGGUGUGAGUGUCCUGGGGCUGCCGGGACAAAGUACUGCAUGGGGGAGGGGGGGUGCUUAGAACUGUAGAAACACAUUCUCUCACAGUUCUGGCGGCCAGACGUCUGAAAGAAAAAUUUCAGUAGGGCUGCGCUCCCUCGGAAGACUCUAGAAAAGAAACUCCCACAUCUCUCCAGUAGCUCCAGGAGGAUACGGAUGCCCCUUGGCGUCCCUUCACUUGUAAACUCCCGUCUGCAUGGGGCCGUCUUCCCGUGUGUCUGCGUCUGUCUGUCCUCACAAGGACACCAGGCAUAUUGGAUCAAGGCCCAUCCCCACUGAGGACGACCUCAUCUUAACUUGAUGACAGGGGGAGACCCUAUUUCCAAUCACAGAUGCUCGGUUUAAGACUUCAACACAGCCUCGGGGCGCCUGGGUGGCGCAGUCGGUUAAGCGUCCGACUUCAGCCAGGUCACGAUCUCGCGGUCCGGGAGUUCGAGCCCCGCGUCAGGCUCUGGGCUGAUGGCUCAGAGCCUGGAGCCUGUUUCUGAUUCUGUGUCUCCCUCUCUCUCUGCCCCUCCCCCGUUCAUGCUCUGUCUCUCUCUGUCCCAAAAAUAAAAAAAAUAAACGUUGAAAAAAAAAAAAAAGU
rnacentral:lncRNA from 1 species